rnacentral:rRNA from 1 species
UACAGAGGGUGCGAGCGUUACUCGGAAUUACUGGGCGUAAAGCGUGCGUAGACGGUCAUGUAAGUCGGGUGUGAAAGCCCCGGGCUCAACCUGGGAAUUGCAUUCGAGACUGCAUGGCUAGGGUGCGGAAGAGGGAAGCGGAAUUUCCGGUGUAGCGGUGAAAUGCGUAGAUAUCGGAAGGAACACCAGUGGCGAAAGCGGCUUCCUGGUCCAGCACCGACGUUCAGGCACGAAAGCGUGGGGAGCAAACAGG